AGUGGUUGGGGGGGGGGAGGUGUACAAGCCUGGGGARSRKAGCGUYAUWGWGGGWGAGARUCSYSYKYUUWGYCACGGAACWAYCAAUGCUUUUGUGAUGCGCUCACAAACGAGUCGCGUUGUUUUGGGAAUAGCAGCGCAAAAUGGGAGGUGAAUUCCUUCUAAAGCUAAAUAUUGGCGAGAGACCGAUAGCGAACAAGUACCGUGAGGGAAAAGAUGGAAAAGCACUUUGGAAAGAGAGUUGAAACAGUACGUGAAAUUGCUAAAAGGGAAAACGCUUGAAGUCAGUCGCGUCGUCCGGAACUCAGCUUUGCUUCGGCUUAGUGCACUUUUCCGGUUGACGGGCCAGCAUCGAUUUUGACCGCUGGAAAAGGGCUGGAGGAAUGUGGCRCCUUCGGGUGUGUUAUAGCCUUCAGUCGCAUACAGCGGUUGGGAUCGAGGAACGCAGCGCGCCUUAUGGCUGGGGUUCGCCCACAUUCGCGCUUAGGAUGCUGGCAUAAUGGCUUUAAACGACCCGUCUUGAAACACGGACCAAGGAGUCUAACAUGCCUGCGAGUGUUUGGGUGGAAAACCCGAGCGCGUAAUGAAAGUGAAAGUUGAGACCUCUGUCGUGGAGGGCAUCGACGCCCGGACCUGACGUUUUCUGAAGGAUCCGCGGUAGAGCAUGUAUGUUGAGGACCCGAAAGAUGGWGAACUAUSYCUGAAUAGGGYGAAGCCAGAGGAAACUCUGGGAUGGGAGGCUCGCAGCGAUUCUGACGUGCAAAUCGAAUCGUCAAAUU
rnacentral:rRNA from 1 species